GACGGAGGAUGCAAGCGUUAUCCGGAAUUAUUGGGCGUAAAGCGUCCGUAGGCGGUUUCAAAAGUCUGUUGUUAAAGCCCACAGCUCAACUGUGGAUCGGCAAUGGAAACUGUGAGACUAGAGAGUGGUAGGGGUAGAGGGAAUUCCUAGUGUAGCGGUGAAAUGCAUAGAUAUCGUCAAGAACACCGAUAGCGAAGGCAGCUUACUAAGUUGUAACUGACGCUGAUGCACGAAAGUGUGGGGAUCAAACAGG
rnacentral:rRNA from 1 species